CCUACGGGAGGCAGCAGUAGGGAAUUUUCGUCAAUGGGCGCAAGCCUGAACGAGCAAUGCCGCGUGAACGAGGAAGGUCUUCGGAUCGUUAAGUUCUGUUGAUGGGGAAAAAGAGCGGAGAGAGGAAAUGGUCUACGAUUGAUAUUAUCCUUCGAGGACGUCACGGCUAAAUACGUGCCCGCAGCCGCGGUAAUAAGUAGGUGGCGAGCGUUAUCCGGUAUGGUUGGGCGGAAAGGGGGCGUAGGCGGCCUGCUAAGUCUGGAGUGAAAGGUACCGGCUCAACCGGUACAGGCUCUGGAAACUGGCGGGCUAGAGAGCAGGAGAGGGCGGUGGAACUCCAUGUGUAGCGGUAAAAUGCUUAGAUAUAUGGAAGAACACCAGUUGCGAAGGCGGCCGCCUGGCCUGUUACUGACGCUGAGGCACGAAAGCGUGGGGAGCGAAUAGGAUUAGAUACCCUUGUAGUC
rnacentral:rRNA from 1 species